UACGAAGGGUGCAAACGUUGCUCGGAAUUAUUGGGCGUAAAGCGCACGUAGGCGGCAUCGCAAGUCGGAUGUGAAAUCUUAUGGCUUAACCAUAAAAGUGCAUCCGAAACUGCAGUGCUUGAGUACUUAAGAGGAUCGCGGAAUUCCCGGUGUAGAGGUGAAAUUCGUAGAUAUCGGGAGGAACACCAGUGGCGAAGGCGGCUC
rnacentral:rRNA from 1 species